CUCCCACCUGGUUGGUGGCUCACCUAUCCUUUCCCUCCCCCCUCCCUGUGGGCUUAAAAGACACUGAAACCAUGCGGUCGGUAUUCUGUUGGAGCUGUUACCAAGAUUCAGAGCUCUGUGACCCUGGAAUAAACUCUGGAUUUAACCCUCCGGCGGAAUCCGCUCUUUUUCCUCUUCACCAUCACCUGAACCUUUUCCACUAGAGCAAAGUGCAGGCCUCAGUUUGCCUUCACCUGGAGAGGCGUGCAGUACACCUGGAACCGACUGCCCCAGGGGUGGAAGCACAGUCCUACUAUCUGCCAUGGACUGAUCCAGACUGCACUGGAAAAGGGUGAGGCUCCGGAACAUCUACACUACAUCAAUGACAUCAUUGUGUGGGGGAAAACAGCAGUGGAAGUAUUUGAGAAAGGAGAGAAAAUCAUCCAGAUUCUCCUGGAAGCCAGCUUUGCCAUCAAAAAGAGCAAAGUCAAGGGAUCUGCCAGAGAGAUCCAGUUCCUGUGAGUGAAGUGGCAAGACAGACAGCGUCAGAUAUCCACAGAGGUCAUCAAUAAGAUCACAGUGAUGUCUCCACCGACCAACAAAAAGGAAAUGCAAGCUUUCCUAGGUGCCAUAGGUUUCUGGAUGAUGCACAUCCCUGACUACAUCCAGAUUGCGAGCCCUCUUUACCUGGUAACCACAAGAAGAACAAAUUUCCAUUGGGGCCCUGAACAGUAACAAGCCUUCGCCCAGAUCAAGCAGGAGAUUGCUCAUACGAUAGCCCUUGGCCCAGUGUAUUGGUUUUUCACAGCCUAGUUUUGGCAGCAGGGGGGCCACACAAGAUGGCUCCUGUGGGAAGCUGCUGGAAGCUUCCACCAUGUCCAGCAGAGCCAAUCCUUGAUGGCUCUGAAGAUGGACAUGCUGCUCACCAAAACUGGGCCAAUGAGGGAGGCUGGUAAUGCCUCUGUGAUGACAUAUUUAAGAAGAAAAUCAAAAUUAAGUAACUGGUUUUUGCUUUGAGUCAGAGAAGAGGAGGAGGUGAGAACAUGUGAGGGAAAACAACAUGGCGACACCAAGGUCAGUGGAGAAGGAGGGGAAGGAAGUGCUCCAGGCGCCGGAGCUGGGAUUCCUCUGCAAGCUGUGAUGAUGACCAUGGUAAAGAAGGUUGCCCCCCUGCAGCCCAUAGAGGUCCACAGGGGAUGCAGAGAUACACCCUCAGCCUAUGGGGGGAGGUGCCCAUGCUGGAGUGGGUGGAUGCCUGGAGGAGGCUGUGAUCAAGUGGAAGACCUGGUGGAGAGAGGGGACCCCUGCUUCCAAGCUGGAGCAGCCUGUCCUUGAAGGACUGCACCCCAUGAAAAAAGAGACCCAUAUUGCAGCAGUUUUGGGAGGACUGUCUGCCCAUGGGAGGGUCUCACGUUGCAGCGGGUGCAGAAGGACUUCUGCUUGUGAGAUUGGACCCAAGCUGGAGAAGUUCACAGGGAACUGUCUCUCGUGGGAAGGACCUGACAGUCUCACAGGGGAAAGACUCCUGUCUCAGAGCAUGGGAAAGAAAAUCUUGGUGAUGAACUGAUCAAAACCUCCAUGCCCUGUCUCCCCGUGCUGUUGGUGGGAAGGAGGGAGGGGCUCUGGGGAAAUGGUGUCUAAAGGGCUUAUUUUGCUUCUCAUUAUCCUCCUCUGAUUCUCUUAGUAAUAAAGUUACUUUGAAGCUUAA